rnacentral:rRNA from 1 species
CUUUGGUUGUCCUGGGGAAAGGCGGUAGGCAUGAUUCUUAGGCAAAUCCGGGAAUCUUUAUGCCGAGCACCGAGACGAGUCCUAUGAGGACGAAGUGACUGACACCACGCUUCCAGGAAAAGCCACUAAGCUUCAGCUGUAGAAAAACCGUACCGCAAACCGACACAGGUAGGCAGGGUGAGAAUCCCAAGGCGCUUGAGAGAACUCGGGUGAAGGAACUAGGCAAAAUGGCACCGUAACUUCGGGAGAAGGUGCGCCUCUUGGUGUGGUCACGUGCGUGACUGAGCAUCGAGGGGUCGCAGUAACCUGGCCGCUGCGACUGUUUAUCAAAAACACAGCACUCUGCAAACACGAAAGUGGACGUAUAGGGUGUGACGCCUGCCCGGUGCUGGAAGGUUAAUUGAUGGGGUCAGCCGCAAGGCGAAGCUCUUGAUCGAAGCCCCAGUAAACGGCGGCCGUAACAAUAACGGUCCUAAGGUAGCGAAAUUCCUUGUCGGGUAAGUUCCGACCUGCACGAAUGGCGUAACGACAGCGGCGCUGUCUCCACCCGAGACUCAGUGAAAUUGAAAUCGCUGUGAAGAUGCAGCGUUCCCGCGGCAAGACGGAAAGACCCCGUGAACCUUUACUAUAGCUUUACACUGAACGUUGAGUUCUUCUGUGUAGGAUAGGUGGGAGGCUAUGAAACCAGGACGCUAGUUCUGGUGGAGCCAUCCUUGAAAUACCACCCUGAAGUGCUUGACGUUCUAACCUAGGUCCGUAAUCCGGAUCGGGGACCGUGUAUGGUGGGUAGUUUGACUGGGGCGGUCUCCUCCCAAAGAGUAACGGAGGAGCACGAAGGUACGCUCAGCGCGGUCGGACAUCGCGCACUGUGUGCAAAGGCAUAAGCGUGCUUGACUGCGAGAUCGACGGAUCAAGCAGGUACGAAAGUAGGUCUUAGUGAUCCGGUGGUUCUGUAUGGAAGGGCCAUCGCUCAACGGAUAAAAGGUACUCCGGGGAUAACAGGCUGAUACCGCCCAAGAGUUCAUAUCGACGGCGGUGUUUGGCACCUCGAUGUCGGCUCAUCACAUCCUGGGGCUGUAGCCGGUCCCAAGGGUAUGGCUGUUCGCCAUUUAAAGUGGUACGCGAGCUGGGUUCAGAACGUCGUGAGACAGUUCGGUCCCUAUCUGUCGUGGGCGUUGGAGAUUUGAGGGGGGCUGCUCCUAGUACGAGAGGACCGGAGUGGACGUUCCGCUGGUGUUCGGGUUGUCAUGCCCAUGGCAUUGCCCGGUAGCUACGAACGGAAGUGAUAACCGCUGAAAGCAUCUAAGCGGGAAGCACGCCCCAAGAUGAGAUCUCCCGAGAGCUUGACUCUCCUAAAGGCACCAUCAAGACUAGGUGGUUGAUAGGCACGGUGUGGAAGUGCAGCAAUGCAUUGAGCUUACGUGUACUAAUGAGCCGUGAGGCUUGACCU